GUGCCUAACACAUGCAAGUCGAACGAGAAAGUGGAGCAAUCCACGAGUAAAGUGGCGACCGGGUGAGUAACACGUGACUAACCUGCCUUCGAGUGGGGGAUAACCUCGGGAAACCGGGGCUAAUACCGCAUAAUGCCGAAAGGUUAAAGGAGCAAUUCGCUUGAAGAGGGGGUCGCGGCUGAUUAGCUAGUUGGCGGGGUAACGGCCCACCAAGGCGAUGAUCGGUAGCCGGCCUGAGAGGGCGCACGGCCACACUGGAACUGAAACACGGUCCAG
rnacentral:rRNA from 1 species